rnacentral:rRNA from 1 species
GAGUUUGAUCCUGGCUCAGAUUGAACGCUGGCGGCAUGCCUUACACAUGCAAGUCGAACGGCAGCGCGGGAGCAAUCCUGGCGGCGAGUGGCGAACGGGUGAGUAAUACAUCGGAACGUGCCCAAUCGUGGGGGAUAACGCAGCGAAAGCUGUGCUAAUACCGCAUACGAUCUACGGAUGAAAGCAGGGGAUCGCAAGACCUUGCGCGAAUGGAGCGGCCGAUGGCAGAUUAGGUAGUUGGUGAGGUAAAGGCUCACCAAGCCUUCGAUCUGUAGCUGGUCUGAGAGGACGACCAGCCACACUGGGACUGAGACACGGCCCAGACUCCUACGGGAGGCAGCAGUGGGGAAUUUUGGACAAUGGGCGAAAGCCUGAUCCAGCCAUGCCGCGUGCAGGAUGAAGGCCUUCGGGUUGUAAACUGCUUUUGUACGGAACGAAACGGUCUUCUCUAAUAAAGAGGGCUAAUGACGGUACCGUAAGAAUAAGCACCGGCUAACUACGUGCCAGCAGCCGCGGUAAUACGUAGGGUGCAAGCGUUAAUCGGAAUUACUGGGCGUAAAGCGUGCGCAGGCGGUUAUGUAAGACAGUUGUGAAAUCCCCGGGCUCAACCUGGGAACUGCAUCUGUGACUGCAUAGCUAGAGUACGGUAGAGGGGGAUGGAAUUCCGCGUGUAGCAGUGAAAUGCGUAGAUAUGCGGAGGAACACCGAUGGCGAAGGCAAUCCCCUGGACCUGUACUGACGCUCAUGCACGAAAGCGUGGGGAGCAAACAGGAUUAGAUACC